rnacentral:rRNA from 1 species
GACGAACGCUGGCGGCGUGCCUAAUUCAUGCAAGUAGAACGCUGAAGAGAGGAGCUUGCUCUUCUUGGAUGAGUUGCGAACGGGUGAGUAACGCGUAGGUAACCUGCCUUGUAGCGGGGGAUAACUAUUGGAAACGAUAGCUAAUACCGCAUAACAAUGGAUGACACAUGUCAUUUAUUUGAAAGGGGCAAUUGCUCCACUACAAGAUGGACCUGCGUUGUAUUAGCUAGUAGGUGAGGUAACGGCUCACCUAGGCGACGAUACAUAGCCGACCUGAGAGGGUGAUCGGCCACACUGGGACUGAGACACGGCCCAGACUCCUACGGGAGGCAGCAGUAGGGAAUCUUCGGCAAUGGGGGCAACCCUGACCGAGCAACGCCGCGGGAGUGAAGAAGGUUUUCGGAUCGUAAAGCUCUGUUGUAAGUCAAGAACGAGUGUGAGAGUGGAAAGUUCACACUGUGACGGUAGCUUACCAGAAAGGGACGGCUAACUACGUG